AGGCAGACAGGAAAGUCUGGUGUGCAAUGGCUACAAACAGCAGCCUCCUGGGCUGUGGAUGCAACUGCUGCUCCUCUGGGCUGCACGAAGGAACCUGGGACCUGGGAGACAGUC
ensembl:snoRNA SNORA70 Small nucleolar RNA SNORA70